rnacentral:rRNA from 1 species
UACGGAGGGGGCAAGCGUUGUUCGGAAUUACUGGGCGUAAAGCGCGCGUAGGUGGCCCUGUAAGUCCGUUGUGAAAGUCAAAGGCUCAACCUUUGAAAGCCGAUGGAUACUGCAGGGCUGGAGUCCGGAAGAGGCGAGUGGAAUUCCUGGUGUAGCGGUGAAAUGCGCAGAUAUCAGGAAGAACACCUAUGGCGAAGGCAGCUCUCUGGGACGGUACUGACGCUGAGGAGCGAAAGCAUGGGGAGCGAACAGG